ensembl:lncRNA
GUUUUUAUGAUUCUUCCAGACCCUAGUUCAACUAUCAUGAGAGCUUCACCCAGGGAUAAACGAAUUAAAAUACGAUUCACGUCAUUGCCACACGUCUGCCUCGGCACACAGGCCGGGUGAAGGCGAGGGUGCCAAUACUUUUAUCUAUGCAGAAGACGUACGGUAAGAAGAUGUGCAGCUUUGUUGGACGACGUUAAGGAACAACAAAAAGGUGUUCAGUGGCUGAAUCUCAAACUCUGUUUUGUGCUCUGUACUGGGUAGGGCACUGGGUAGGGCACUAGGAAGGGCACUGGGUAGGGCACUGGGUAGGGUACUAGGUAGGGCACUAGGAAGGGCACUGGGUAGGGCACUAGGUAGGGUACUAGCCAGGGCACUAGGAAGGGCACUGGGUAGGGCACUAGCUAGGGCACAUUUAUGUUAGACCCUAGGUAGGGAGCACACUUAGUGAGUUAAAUUAAAUUCAAUUAAAAUGAAUUCCCAGAAGGUUUUAUGACCGAAUUAAACACCGCCGACAAACAGCCGCUGUAUUGCAAAAAUUCUUUCAUUUUGUAAUUUUUUUUUGUGAACAAAAUGAACUCUGAUCUCUGGAGUUUUGGAGUUUCAUCACGAAGGAAUGAUUUUUAUUUAAAGGAGCGGCAUGUAAUAAUUAGCGCCCUCUUCUGCCUGUAGUGAGAUGCCGUAGAAACGCAGACGAGCCUUUAUCUUUCCCUUCUGCUAGCAUUAUUUGCGCCUCGUAAAUUGUUUAGUGAAGAAAAAGUGGGCGUGGCUUAGCACCUGUUCUGACUAGGGGUGGAGCUAAUUGCAGCAGACUUUUUUAAAAAGGUCUAGAUUGAUCUGAAUUGAUUUUUCUCUCUUGUGUAACACCCCAGAACACUUUUAUUCCCCAG